rnacentral:rRNA from 1 species
AACCUUCCAGGGCUUUACAUGGGUAGGACAUUUUCAGAGAUGGAUUUUUCCCCUUAGGGACCUCUUGCACAGGUGGUGCAUGGCUGUUGUCAGCUCGUGUUGUGAAAUGUUGGGUUAAGUCCCGCAACGAGCGCAACCCUCGCCUUUAGUUGCCAGCAUGAUUGGGUGGGCACUCUAAAGGAACUGCCGGUGACAAGCCGGAGGAAGGUGGGGAUGACGUCAAGUCAUCAUGGCCCUUAUGACCUGGGCUACCCACGUGCUACAAUGGGCGGACAAAGAGGGAGCCCGGCGCAAGGGCCGACCAAAUCCAAAAAACCAGUCUCAGUUCGGAUUGCACUCUGCAACUCGCACUCCAUGAAGUCGGAAUCGCAUAGUAAUCGCGGAUCAGCAUGCCGCGGGAAUAC